UUGACGUUACCCGCACAAAAAGCACCGGCUAACUCCGUGCCAGCAGCCGCGGUAAUACGGAGGGGGCAAGCGUUAAUCGGAAUUACUGGGCGUAAAGCGCACGCAGGCGGUUUGUUAAGUCUGAUGUGAAAUCCCCGGGCUCAACCUGGGAACUGCAUCUGAUACUGGCAAGCUUGAGUCUCGAAGAGGGGGGUGGAAUUCCAGGUGUAGCGGUGAAAUGCGUAGAGAUCUGGAGGAAUACCGGUGGCGAAGGCGGCCCCCUGGACUAAAACUGACGCUCAGGUGCGAAAGCGUGGGGAGCAAACAGGAUUAGAUACCCUGGUAGUCCACGCCGUAAACGAUGUCUACUUGGAGGUUGUGCCCUUGAGGCGUGUCUUCCGGAACUAACGCGUUAAAUCAACCGCCUGGGGAGUACGGCCGCAAGGA
rnacentral:rRNA from 1 species